ensembl:lncRNA
CAGCACCACAGAGACGCUGGCCCGGGCCCAAGCAGCCAAGCCCAGGUGAGAGGUGGUGGGGUCCAGGGUGGCCUUUGUCCCCAUUGUGAUUCCCAAGUACAAAGGCCAGGUGAAAGGCCACUAAAAUUUGGAAAAGGGGUGUGGGAGAGCUCGUGGCCUACGUUAUGGGUCUAACGCCCAGCUCUGCUCAUCCAUUGUCCUAAUGCUCUGCCAACUUCUCCAGCCCACAGGCACCCGUCCAACCUUUUGACCUUCUCAAGGCUCAAGAUGUGGAAAUGCGGCCUUGGGAGAUGCAUUCCUCCAUGGGUCCUUGGCUGGUGAGAGGCAGAGCUGGUGAGCCUAGGGAGUCUGUUCUCCAGUGCUUCCGAGCACCAACAGUGAGCCAGGGCCCCUGGUUCCCAUCAUUGCACGAGAACCACACGGGCUCCGUCAGACAAGAGGUCCCCAUCAAGUCCACACAGGGGCGCCCAGGCUGAAAGGGGACAGCUUCAGUCCUGGGAACCUCCAGGACCCUCCCGGGCCUCUUUGCAAUUGUGACCACACCAGGUGUGGCUCAGGGAACCCUGGAGAGGAGGCAAAAGAGAAUGGACAGCGUGCAGCUAAUUUCUCAAGAAGGAAGCCCAGAUCCAAACACCAAAGCCUUCCUUUCCACGUCUCCAACACCAUUCCUCUUGUGCGCACUGUCACAUGAAAGAAAUCGAGAGACUGGUUUGACUCUGUCCUUCUUCUGGGGCUUGCUUGCCUAGCAGAUUUGAGUCAAGGUCAGGGAAGCCUCUCUCUUCCACCCUGCAUGGUGCCUCUGUGACCAGCCAGCUCCCUGCCCCACCUCCCUGGGCCCAGCAUGCAGCUUGCCAACUGGCAGCCCAGGGUCGAGGACUGGGCUCCCUGGAAACAGCCUCAAAUCAUCCAGGAUGCUGCCAGCUGUGGAGCAAGUGCCCAGAGCCCAUUCCUGCUCUCUGCCCUCGCCUCAUCGUGGUGAUCACGGGAUCCAGGAGCUGUGGGUUAUGGAGCCCCUCUGUGGACCGGGCCUCUGCCCAUACAUUGCACUGAAUCCUCUCACAGGCCAGCCAGCUCCUUGUCAUCGUUGUCUUAACAUCAUGGGGACACAUUACACAUGCUGGAGAAGAUGCCUCUGUGGGAAAUGUACUCAGGAGGCCCCUGCACCAUUCUCUACCUUCCUCUCUGCUCUGACCUGUGACCAGGCAAGAAGGAUAGGGACCAGUUCUCUCCCCACACUAACGCUCCAAGGUGACUGUCACAGUGGGUUUCACCCGCAGCCUCCUCCAUCUGCCUAGAAGAGACCAGAGGCACACACAGAAACAAGACGGUCAGGGGCUCUGGGGCCCUGCAGAGGGCGGAUGCCUGCGAGGCAGAAGUGCCACCUGCUGGUGGACAUCGGCAUGGCCGACAGCACCCCAGCUCACUCCCCACGAAUCCAGGCAUCUGCUAGCAGGAUGGCGAUCAUGACAUCCAGCGACGUCAUGGGCGUUUCCAGAAGCUGCCCAGCAGUGGGCCUGGGGCGCGGCAGCUUCAUCACUGGGUUCAUUUUCCCGCCUAACUACAGGGAGUGUGUUGUGCUGCUGGUCACCAGCAGAGGGCGCACCUAAAGCAAGCGAGGGCCGGAAGUUUUUGAGCCUGGCCUGCCUUUUGGAAUAUUUUUUAUAACGAUGCAAAAUUCAGAAUUAAAGCAAGC